UACGAAGGGUGCAAGCGUUACUCGGAAUUACUGGGCGUGAAGCGUGCGUAGGUGGUUUGUUAAGUCUGUUGUGAAAGCCCCGGGCUCAACCUGGGAAUGGCAAUGGAUACUGGCAGGCUAGAGUGCGGUAGAGGGUAGUGGAAUUCCCGGUGUAGCGGUGAAAUGCGUAGAGAUCGGGAGGAACACCAGUGGCGAAGGCGGCUACCUGGACCAGCACUGACACUGAGGCACGAAAGCUAGGGGAGCAAACAGG
rnacentral:rRNA from 1 species